GAUGAACGCUAGCUACAGGCUUAACACAUGCAAGUCGCGGGGCAGCAUUUUCCUAGCUUGCUAGGGAAGAUGGCGACCGGCGCACGGGUGAGUAACGCGUAUCCAACCUUCCCAUGUCCACGGGAUAGCCCGUCGAAAGGCGGAUUAAUACCGUAUGAGGUCACAUGCGGGCAUCUAACUGUGACGAAAGGUUUAGCGGACAUGGAUGGGGAUGCGUCCGAUUAGCUAGUUGGCGGGGUAACGGCCCACCAAGGCGACGAUCGGUAGGGGUUCUGAGAGGAAGGUCCCCCCACAAUGGAACUGAGACACGGUCCAUACUCCUACGGGAGGCAGCAGUGAGGAAUAUUGGUCAAUGGGCGAAGCCUGAACCAGCCAUGCCGCGUGCGGGAAGGAGGCCCUAU
rnacentral:rRNA from 1 species